rnacentral:rRNA from 1 species
CGGUGGCCGGCGUGCUUACCUGCAGUCGAACGAUGAUGCCCAGCUUGCUGGGUGGAUUAGUGGCGAACGGGUGAGUAACACGUGAGUAACCUGCCCCUGACUCUGGGAUAAGCGUUGGAAACGACGUCUAAUACUGGAUAUGAUCACCGGCCGCAUGGUCUGGUGGUGGAAAGAUUUUUUGGUUGGGGAUGGACUCGCGGCCUAUCAGCUUGUUGGUGAGGUAAUGGCUCACCAAGGCGACGACGGGUAGCCGGCCUGAGAGGGUGACCGGCCACACUGGGACUGAGACACGGCCCAGACUCCUACGGGAGGCAGCAGUGGGGAAUAUUGCACAAUGGGCGAAAGCCUGAUGCAGCAACGCCGCGUGAGGGAUGACGGCCUUCGGGUUGUAAACCUCUUUUAGUAGGGAAGAAGCGAAAGUGACGGUACCUGCAGAAAAAGCACCGGCUAACUACGUGCCAGCAGCCGCGGUAAUACGUAGGGUGCAAGCGUUGUCCGGAAUUAUUGGGCGUAAAGAGCUCGUAGGCGGUUUGUCGCGUCUGCUGUGAAAUCCCGAGGCUCAACCUCGGGCUUGCAGUGGGUACGGGCAGACUAGAGUGCGGUAGGGGAGAUUGGAAUUCCUGGUGUAGCGGUGGAAUGCGCAGAUAUCAGGAGGAACACCGAUGGCGAAGGCAGAUCUCUGGGCCGUAACUGACGCUGAGGAGCGAAAGCAUGGGGAGCGAACAGGAUUAGAUACCCUGGUAGUCCAUGCCGUAAACGUUGGGCGCUAGAUGUAGGGACCUUUCCACGGUUUCUGUGUCGUAGCUAACGCAUUAAGCGCCCCGCCUGGGGAGUACGGCCGCAAGGCUAAAACUCAAAGGAAUUGACGGGGGCCCGCACAAGCGGCGGAGCAUGCGGAUUAAUUCGAUGCAACGCGAAGAACCUUACCAAGGCUUGACAUACACCGGAA